rnacentral:lncRNA from 1 species
UAUAAUCUUUUGUCAGCUAGUAAGUUAACAAAAGAUAUGAAUUGUGUUGUGACUUUUUUCUCCUCUCACUGUGAAUUUCAGGAUCGUUCUUCGGGGAAGAUGAUUGGCAUUGCUGAGAAAAAAGAUGGCCUAUACUACUUCUCGGGAGUUGGGGAUUCCAGUAGAGUUAAGUCACAAAAUAAAAUGUCCAUGUCAGUUGUUUCCAACUCUGAAAUUAUGUUAUGGCAUCAACGCUUAGGGCAUCCAAGCUUUUCUUAUAUGAAAGUUUUGUAUCCAAAUCUUUUCGUCAAUAAAGAAAAUUUUUCGUUUCAAUGCGAACAUUGUGUCCUUUCUAAACAAUCCAGAGUCAAUUAUCCGCCACAUAUAUACAAACCCUCAAGACCUUUUCAGUUGAUUCAUAGUGAUGUAUGGGGUCCAUCCAGAACAAUCAAUUUAACUAGAACUCAAUGGUUUGUCACUUUCAUAGAUGACCAUAGAUACUCCUUCCUUAGAAGCACGAGGCUCGGCUCGUAGCAAACAAACAAGAUGAUGGCCAUGUAUCUCAGUCGAGAGACAAGGUCUAGUGUGAUUAUUGUAAGAAAGGUCUAGUGUGAUUAUUGUAAGAAGCCCUAUCACACUCGUGAAACUUGUUGGGACUUACAUGGCAAGCCACCUGAUUGGAAACUGAAGAAGCAACGCAAGCGAACCAAAUCAGCCAAUAUAGUGGAAUCAGAUUCAAGCAAAGUUGCUGGAUUUAACUUCUCAACAGAGCAAGUGGAGAUUCUACGGCAGCUUCUCAAUCAAACUAAGGUGUCAACGGGAUCCGAGAGUCAAAACUCAAAGAUUCCUACUGCAGCUAUGGCACAAACAGGUAAAAUAAGUCAAACUUUCCUGUCAAAGUCACAGCCAGCAGGCUAUUGGAUUGUAGAUACAGGGGCCUCUGACCAUAUGACUGGGUCAAUGAAUGUCCUUGAGGAUUAUGACAAGUGCAAUAGCAGGAUAAAUGUGUGGGUUGCGGAUGGAAAAAUGUCACCUGCAGUUGGGAAGGGCACGGUUUGCUUACCGAAUAUGAUAUUGAAAUCAGUUUUAUAUGUGCCCAAAUUGACAUAUAAUCUUUUGUCAGUUAGUAAGUUAACAAAAGAUAUGAAUUGUGUUGUGACUUUUUUCUCCUCUCACUGUGAAUUUCAGGAUCGUUCUUCGGGGAAGAUGAUUGGCAUUGCUGAGAAAAAAGAUGGCCUAUACUACUUCUCGGGAGUUGGGGAUUCUAGUAGAGUUAAGUCACAAAAUAAAAUGUCCAUGCCAGUUGUUUCCAACUCUGAUAUUAUGUUAUGGCAUCAACGCUUAGGGCAUCCGAGCUUUUCUUAUAUGAAAGUUUUGUAUCCAAAUCUUUUCGUCAAUAAAUAAAAUUUUUCGUUUCAAUGCGAACAUUGUGGCCUUUCUAAACAAUCCAGAGUCAAUUAUCCGCCACAUAUAUACAAACCCUCAAGACCUUUUCAGUUGAUUCAUAGUGAUGUAUGGGGUCCAUCCAGAACAAUCAAUUUAACUAGAACUCAAUGGUUUGUCACUUUCAUAGAUGACCAUACUAGGGUGUGUUGGGUGUACUUGAUGAAAGAUAAAUCUGAGGCAUUUUACUGGUUUCAACAGUUCCACAAAUUUGUCCAAAAUGUUUUUCAAUCCAAUAUAAAUGUCCUUAGAACAGAUAAUGGAAGGGAGUAUUUCUCAAAUGAAUUUAACCAAUAUUUGGGGAAUAAUGGGAUACACCAUCAAAGUUCUUGUGUUAACACACCAAAACAAAAUGGGGUUGCCGAAAGAAAGAAUCGAC